rnacentral:rRNA from 1 species
UGGCCGCGGUAUUUUGCCCGKGCGAAGGUAGCAUAAUAAAUAGUCCGUUAAAUGUGGUCUGGAAUGAAUGGUUUAACGAGGAUCAACUUUUUUGAUUUUAUUUUUGAAUUUUAAUUAUUAGUGAAAAUGCUAAUAUAAUUAAGGGGGACGAGAAGACCCUAUAGAACUUUAUAUAUUUAGAAUAUGUAAUGGUAAGAGUAUUUUUWUUAUAUUUUGUUGGGGCGACAGUAAAUUUGAAUCAUUUACUUUUUAUUUUAUUAUUAUAAGUUUUUGAUCCAUUAAUAAUGAUUAUUARACUUAGUUACCUUAGGGAUAACAGCGUAAUUUUAUUUUAGAGUUCUUAUCGAUAAUAAAGUUUGCGACCYCGAAUGUUGGAUUAGRAUUCUUUUAKGGUGCUGUUCGUUCUAMAAAAAAAAUUUUGUUCRACUAUAUAAUUCUU